rnacentral:rRNA from 1 species
UACAGAGGGGGCAAGCGUUGUUCGGAAUUACUGGGCGUAAAGGGCGCGUAGGCGGCCUGUUAAGUCGAACGUGAAAUCCCCGGGCUCAACCCGGGAACUGCGUCCGAUACUGGCAGGCUUGAAUCCGGGAGAGGGAUGCGGAAUUCCAGGUGUAGCGGUGAAAUGCGAAGAUAUCUGGAGGAACACCGGUGGCGAAGGCGGCAUCCUGGACCGGCAUUGACGCUGAGGCGCGAAAGCCAGGGGAGCAAACGGG